rnacentral:rRNA from 1 species
UACGAAGGGGCUAGCGUUGUUCGGAAUUACUGGGCGUAAAGCGCACGUAGGCGGAUUUGUAAGUCAGGGGUGAAAUCCCGGGGCUCAACCUCGGAACUGCCUUUGAUACUGCAAGUCUCGAGUCCGAUAGAGGUGAGUGGAAUUCCUAGUGUAGAGGUGAAAUUCGUAGAUAUUAGGAAGAACACCAGUGGCGAAGGCGGCUCACUGGAUCGGUACUGACGCUGAGGUGCGAAAGCGUGGGGAGCAAACAGGG